UCUCCGUAGGUGAACCUGCGGAGGGAUCAUUAAUGAGUUACCACAACUCCCAAACCCAUUGUGAACCUACCCUUCACGUUGCUUCGGCGGGUCGGGCGCUGUGCCGCCCCUCCGGGCGACCCGGGGCUCCCCAAAGGCCCCGGGCCCGCCGCCCGCCGGAGGUACGCAAACUCUUGUUCAUUGUACGGCCUCUCUGAGUGAAGUACUGAAUAAGUCAAAACUUUCAACAACGGAUCUCUUGGUUCUG
rnacentral:misc_RNA from 1 species